AAAUUAAAGAUAGGGAUCAUUUGGUCUUAUUCUCUAUCAUAACAUACACUACCUUUCUUUACGCCUCCUAUCGUCUUGUUUCGUGGGUAUGGAGCUUCAGAUCCUAAGCCCAGCUAAACCAUGUUGCUUAUACACCUUUAUCUCAUCCUCCAGCUCCUAUUUGACUGUAAAGCCACGAAAAGCAUUGAUUAUGAGAUGUUCAUCAUCACAAGGGAGGCUGGAGAAAUGUUCAAAGAAGAAGCUAUCUCGUAUACUUAGAACAGAAGCAGCUAUUAAAGGUAUUGAGAGGAAAGCCAACUCUGAAAAGUAUACUAAUCUUUGGCCUAAGGCUGUUUUGGAGGCUCUUGAUGAUGCUAUUAGGGAUAACCAUUGGGAAUCCGCUCUUAAGAUAUUUGACCUUCUUCACAAGCAACAUUGGUAUGCGCCAAGAUGCCAUACAUAUGCUAAGCUUUUGAUGAUGCUCGGCAAGUGCAAGCAGCCAAAUCAAGCUAGUUUGCUUUUUGAGAUUAUGCUAGCGGAUGGGCUUCAACCAACAGUAGAUGUUUACACUGCACUUGUAAGUGCGUAUGGCCUUAGUGGUCUUCUUGAUGAGGCCUUGCGAACCAUUGAUGAUAUGAAAUCAGUUAGUAAUUGCAAGCCUGAUGUGUAUACUUACUCGAUCCUUAUUAAGUGCUGCAUUAAAGUUCGUCGUUUUGAUAUGAUUGAAAAUAUUUUAGCCGAGAUGGUGUAUUUGGGAAUUGAAUGUACUUCUGUGACGUACAAUACCAUAAUUGAUGGCUAUGGUAAAGCCAAGCUGUUUGAGCUGAUGGAAAGCUCCUUGACAGAUAUGAUCGAAAGUGAGACUGCCUCUCCAGAUGUUUUCACCUUGAAUUCAGUAAUUGGGUCCUACGGUAGCUGUGGGAAACUUGAGAAAAUGGAGAAGUGGUUUGAAGAAUUUCAGGUAAUGGGAAUAAAGCCAGAUGUUAUGACAUAUAACAUUCUAAUCAAGUCAUAUGGAAGAGCUGGCAUGUAUCAGAAAAUGGAGUCUGUACUUGAUUUUAUGAGGAAUCGGUUCUAUUCCCCAACAGUUGUGACUUACAAUAUUAUCAUUGAGACAUUGGGUAAGGCUGGCCAUAUUAAGAACAUGGAGCAGUUUUUCCUACAGAUGAAGCAGGAAGGGGUGAAGCCAACUUCAUUCACUUAUUGCUCUCUUGUCAGUGCUUAUAGUAAAGCUGGACUUGUGGAAAAAGUUGAUUCAAUCAUGAGGCAAGUAGAGAAUUCAGAUGUAGUUCUAGAUACUCCUUUUUUCAAUUGCAUCAUCAGUGCUUAUGGUCAAGCUGGUGAUAUAGAGAGGAUGCUGGCAUUGUUCUUGGAAAUGAAGGUCAGAAAAUGUAAACCAGACUACAUAACAUUUUCUACCAUGAUCCAGGCCUACAAUGCACAAGGGAUGAUCGAAGCUGCCAAUGACUUGAAGACGAAAAUGAUCACUUCUUGUGGUACUUCAGAUUUUGCAGCUUUUGAUGCUGGAGAGGGAAGGACGUUAUAGGGAGGGAGGGCAGUUAAACUUCUCGCAUUUACUACGUCCACGAAACAGCCAAACCGUGCUGUGCUGUCUGUCGUGCAACAUCUGGAUUCAUCUUCAGUUGAUAACCUCAGUGGUGCUUAGGUGAAUGGCGAUUUUCUCAGUAGUGGGUGAUUAUGAUGGAUAAUUAACUCCUUGGUAACACAUUGAGGAGCUACACUAUUUCAGCUGUCACUGGGGUUUAGUAUUGCAGUACUAAUAGUCAUGCCGCAAAGCCUUUUUUUCUAACGAGAGCUGACUCAUAACCAUACGCGGGAUUUGGACAGGUCAGUGAUGUAACAGGGCUUCUUUCAAAAGAGCAAAGCCAUGGACAGAUGGAGCAUUAUUAAGACACUUGCUGAUUCUUCUUUCUGAAUCGGUCGUUUUACCUCUUACUGGAUGCAAGUCUUGAGUAGCAGAUACAUGGAGCAAUAUAGUCACAGAUAAUCCAUUGAAAAGCUGCAGCUGAAGCUUCAGUGGCUUCACAAAUGUCUUGUCGUGUCACUCUCUUGAUCAAUUGUCUCCAGUAACCAAGUUAAAGAUAGAGAUAACUUUUGCUGAAGGAAGCUACGGCCUCCAGUAGCCAGGUUCCGACGGCAAUCUGAAUCACCAAUGGUGGAGUCCCAAACUUCUACUGAUGCUGAAGAUGGGUGGAAAAAAAUCGAAGCUCAACUUCAAGCCUUUAUCGGUGAAAACAAGAAAAGGAUGGAGCAGUUGGAGUCGGACCAAUCUCGGUUCAACUCAGAAGCCAACAGGCGAUUUGAUGCACUUGCUAGGUCAGAUGGAUAACACUUCAAGGAUAGAAUCUGCUGCCUCUGGUCGUUUGUUGGCUACCCUGGCGUUGGGGGGUUCAUCGGUGGAAAGAGGCGAGCCGUCGGUUAUGGGGCUUGCUAGGCCAUCUGGACUGCUCAAUACUCCUCCGAGUUCCGGUGGUGCGAUUUUACCUUAAGCUCCCUUCAAUCCUCAAAGUUUCUCUGCUCCUAUCCCUAUACCCCAUUAUACAUUUUCAUCUCCCUAUCCUCCAGCCCCGGUUUCCUAUUUCAACCAAGUUACCACUACCACCAACUAUCCUUCUUCACCGUUAACUUUUUCUCAACCCAUGACUGCGUCAAAUUUUUCUAGGACCCACCUUAAUAAUCGAAUGACACCACCUUCUUUUACAGCCCCCUUGGAACUGCUUCUACUACUCCGAUAGCUUGCAACAAUUUGUUCACCAGACCUUUUACUCAACCAAAUAACCCUUCUAUUAACCAGACCACACACCAACCCAGAUUCCAAGCCAACUACCAAACGUACUACCAGUCCAAUGCUAUGGUACUUGCAGCUAAUACCCAAUUUAAGUCCCCAAAAAUUAAAUUUUCCUUCCCUGAAUUCGAUACCAAUAACCCACGUGGGUGGAUAAGGAGGUGUGAGAGGUUCUUUGAGCUAUACCAGGUGACCCCAGAGCAAAAAUGCAUAUUGUGGCUGUGCACAUUAAGGAUCAAAAUGAUCCUUGGUUUGAUGUUUACAUGAUGGAGCGUGGGGGUUACGUGGCUUGGGAAACAUUUUUUUUUUUGGAUGUUUGUCGCAGGUAUGGAAAUAUACGCCCAUGGAUGUGGUGACUGAGUUCAAUAGGUUACAACAAUAGGCUGAUGUUGAUAGUUUUUUCAAAAAAUUUGAAGAAAUGCGUUUCUAUUUGUUGUUGGUUAACCCUACAUUGAAUGAGGCAUAUUUUGUGUACUGUUU